AUGAUAUGAUCUUUCUAAUUUUAAUGCAAAAUUAGAGUUUUGACCCCAAUUUCAUGGUCCACUAACAUAAACAAUGAUAGUGCGAGUGGAGCAUCCGUGUACUAUGGACACAUUUUUGUUGAAUUUUCUAUGUAGUUCGAUAUUUUUGCUAUUUUUCUUUUUUCUUAUCACAGAUACGAGAGGAACACACGAGUCUGUGUGUUGUUUAUUAUUUAGCACUUUCCUACCGAUGAAUUAAGUUUGUAUGAAUGUUUGAAAUAUGUAAACGCC
rnacentral:lncRNA from 1 species